ACUUCUCAGUACAGAACGAAUGGCUAUCUUGGAUAGGUAAGAAUUGGAGGGAAAAAAUUGUAGAUUUGGCAACAUCUGGACCAGCUUGAUCUCUGCAGGAUCCAGAUCAACAAUCUCACAUAA
rnacentral:snoRNA from 1 species